rnacentral:piRNA from 1 species
UACCCUCUAUCAGCAGCUGUGGGAGAC